UACGAAGGGGGCUAGCGUUGCUCGGAAUCACUGGGCGUAAAGGGCGCGUAGGGCGGCGUUUUUUAAGUCGGGGGGUGAAAGCCUGUGGCUCAACCACAGAAUGGCCUUCGAUACUGGGGACGCUUGAGUAUGGUAGAGGUUGGUGGAACUGCGAGUGUAGAGGUGAAAUUCGUAGAUAUUCGCAAGAACACCGGUGGCGAAGGCGGCCAACUGGACCAUUACUGACGCUGAGGCGCGAAAGCGUGGGGAGCAAACAGG
rnacentral:rRNA from 1 species